UACGUAGGGUGCGAGCGUUAAUCGGAAUUACUGGGCGUAAAGCGUGCGUAGGCGGUCCGCGAAGUCUGAUGUGAAAGCCCCGGGCUCAACCUGGGAACUGCAUUGGAAACUGGCAGGCUAGAGUACUGGAGAGGUUGGUGGAAUUCUCGGUGUAGAGGUGAAAUUCGUAGAUAUCGAGAGGAACACCGGUGGCGAAGGCGGCCAACUGGACAGAUACUGACGCUGAGACUCGAAAGCGUGGGGAGCAAACAGG
rnacentral:rRNA from 1 species